CGAAGCUAUGACUAUCUGGUUCUGAGCUAUAAGACAGGCGUGGAUUGGAGAAUCCAGCGUCUGGGGUAUCAAAUAAUGAAGGGAACAUGCGAUCUGUACUUGACCUUCCACCAGAACUCACAAAGGAUAUGUCAGUAUCUGGCACCAAGCAAUGUCACUGACCUGAAGGAUUCGGAUUCAUCCUGCGACUUAUAAGGACCAUCAAGGCUUCGCCUAUCACGUCCUGUUGGAGGCACUCCUGGUCCUGGGUCUGAGUGAUCUGACUUGAUGCUUGGUUGAGUGAGCUGGUUGCGUAGAGGAGAAAUAGCUGGUGCAGAACGAGUAGCUGAUCUCAUUGAAUGGAUUUUUCCUUUAGCAACAGCAUACACGUUACAAAAAUCCGGUGCCCCUUUUGCUACGGUUCCUGGAAUAUCCGCUGCCUUGAAUCUUCUGAUAAGAAUAUCUUUCUUAGAAAACACAAAAUGCAUAUUGUACUCAACAAGUUUAGCCUCUAGCUUGGGAUUAAUAAUAUUUAUGUGUCAAUAAAGUCAGUUAUUAUCCCCAUCAUUGGAGUGUGAAACAAGCAUGUGAAGAGCUCAUGGUCGGUCAAGUGCUUAGCAUGGUGUUUACAUACCGAAGCAGACCAGCUUUGGUUGACGCACCAAGAACCAAAUGCUCGAUUGCUGUAUGUGAAGCGUAUUCUAUUAGAGCUUUUGAUACA